CCGAUUCCUCUCGCAUCGUCGCCAUUUCACCACUUCCCGUCGCCAUUCCCCCCCAUCCCCGCUUCCGCCGCCGUCCAUCUCCCUCGCCGCCUCCGUCGCCUGUCCUGGCGUCUCCUCCCCCUCCAGCGCCGUCGCCUUCUCUGCUCCCUCGCCGCACUCGCCCUUCCUCGCCGCCUUCUCCACCGCCAGCGCCCCUCUGUCGACGUCCGCCUCCCCCGAUAUUGGCGGCUUCCCUCCGUCGAAGCCCUUCCUUGUCGCCCUCGCCGCCUUCGCCUCCGCCCGCGUCUCCGCGCCGGCUUGUGAGCCCCCACCGUCGCUGUCCUCCUCCCCCGCCCUCUUGUCUAGCGAGUCGCGUGACGUAGCCGCCCCUCCACCCGCCUCCGCCGGCGCGCGAUGAGUCCUCUUCGCCGCGUCGCCUCCCCGCGCCACCACCGCCACGUUCUCCUCCCCAUGGACCGACGCACCCUUCUCCACUCCACCUCUGUCGCCAUCGACCUAGCCGCCCCCUUCUCUGAAGUGUGAACAUGCCCUUGGCAACCGAUUUAACCCAGUUGUUCAGAUACUAUGCGAGGAAUCGAGAGGAGACAGCCGAGCUUCAGGGUCAGUUUGCAAGACGGUGGCAUGCGCGAAGGGGAUCCGUAUGCCGGCGAAGGGGUUAUCGGUGUUCAGGUGCGACAUUGUAGCAUACGCACGUCGGUGACGUCGAUAGCUGACUGCGCUGAGUCAUCCCGAAGCGUAAGGUUGAACAAUUCUGGUUUAUUGAUUUUUGGUGCCUCAAAUAUGUCAUCUCUUUUUGAUGGCAGUCCAAGCAAACAAUCAACAUCAUCGAGUGUCAUCGUUACGAAAGUACCAUUAAUAUUGAAUGCUUUCUUCUCCUUGUCAUAGCUUCUUGCAAUCUCAUUGCACAAGUUUCGGUCAAUAUGUAUGUUGUCAAUCUUUAGCAAGUUGCCAAGACCUGAACCCUCGAUAGCUUCCUUUUGACGUAGACUUAGAUGGAGUAUUACCUCGUACAUGGCAUGUGGAGAGCAAACUAGAGUUCCCUAAUUAACAGAAAAGAUAAUAAGAGUUUAGUCCAUGUGAAAAUUUAUGCAAGUGCUCAUAUAUAUGAUUGCACAUUACCAAACCUAGAGAUCAAUUAAUCCUGCUAGAAAUCAAUUAGAAAUCAAAGGAAAUAAUUAAUCCUGCUCUGGCAUGUUACUCGUCUGACAUGUUGAAGUGAUGUCCUCCAUCACUGUUCUGGCAGUCUAUAUGGCCCUCUCUAUAAUUUGUUCAAUGUUCAUUCUUAUGUGCAGGAUUCAGUGAGGUUGAGGAGUUUGAGGGGAGCAACAUGAGUGAGGUCUUCGAGGGCAACAUAGUACUGUCAGGGCGUCGCCAGUGCCAUUGUCAGCUUCCCGCCACAAACGCCUCUGGAUCUCAAAUCCACCACGUCGAAGCAGGGGUUGGUCAGGCCGGCAGACCAUCUACGGCUGCGCCUAACACUCCCCGCAGGUACAUUGCUUCAUCCCAUUGCUCCCAUAGGCUUUUAGUUUUUUUUUUUUUUGGCAAAAAGUCGAGACAAAAAGUUAUAUGCCCUAAUGGCAUGUGGAUGUCAUGUAAUUACUAAAUUUUUAGCAUGCUGAAUAUAUAACAUGGAUAUGUUGCUUUGGAUUAAUAUCACUGUCUUCUCAAAAAUUAGGUGCCAUUCUGUUCGUUUUUUGUAUGGAGUAUGACAAGUAUAUAAAAUAGUUGUAUGGAGUAGGACAGGUAUAUAAAUUAGGUGCCAUUCUCUUUUUUUUUAUGGAGUUGUACAAGUAUAUUUUUUGGGAUAUCUUGCCGUGCUGUGUACUCUGUGUGGCUGCUACAUCCUCUAUACAAUUGCUCCAGAGACUAGCCAGAGCUUAAAAGAGGCACACAGUAAAAUCAGGGGAGAGACUAUAUUCGUUAAUAAUCUAAUCAUAUGUGCUGUAAUUAUCGUUGCGCCUUAGACCUAUUGCAACUUUGGCUUGAGGAGUCUAAGAUUUCGACAACUGAUGUAUACAAGAGCUGAAAGUGAAUGUUGUAUGUAAAAAGACGUACCCGUUUUUUCUUAUGUUGGCUUGUGCCCGUCGUCGCUGCA